GAGCUGCGUGGUCAAAACAGAGCGAACUAUUCUUUCGCCUUUUACUAAAGAAUACCGUGUUUUGGCCACUUAAACCGGCAUGCGCCUAUUUUUGGAGGUUUUCCUCUACUCAAGAGGGAG